rnacentral:rRNA from 1 species
AUUGAACGCUGGCGGCAGGCCUAACACAUGCAAGUCGAACGAGUGGCGGACGGGUGAGUAAUGUCUGGGAAACUGCCUGAUGGAGGGGGAUAACUACUGGAAACGGUAGCUAAUACCGCAUACCAUCAGAGGUGCCCAGAUGGGAUUAGCUAGUAGGUGGGGUAAUGGUUCACCUAGGCGACGAUCCCUAGCUGGGCUGAGAGGAUGACCGGCCACACUGGAACUGAGACACGGUCCAGACUACUCCGGGGGGCAGCAGUGGGGAAUAUUGCACAAUGGGCGCAAUCCUUAUGCAGCCAUGCCGCGUGUGUGAAGAAGGCCUUCGGGUUGUAAAGCACUUGCAGCGAGGAGGCGUUACUCGCAGAAGAAGCACCGGCUAACUCCGUGCCAGCCGCCGCGGUAAUAC